UACGGAAGGGGCAAGCGUUGUUCGGAAUCAUUGGGCGUAAAGGGCGCGUAGGUGGUUCUGUAUGUCUACCGUGAAAGCGUACGGCUCAACCGUAUUUUGUCGGUGGAAACUGCAGGACUUGAGGCUGGGAGGGGCUGGUGGAAUUCCCUGUGUAGCGGUGAAAUGCGCAGAUAUCAGGAAGAACACCCGUGGCGAAGGCGGUUCUCUGGGACGGUACUGACGCUGAGACGCGAAAGCGUGGGGAGCAAACAGG
rnacentral:rRNA from 1 species